AUGCAUAGUGUGGAAUUUAGGUGCUGCAAAUAUUACUAUUUUGUUACAGGAUGGCAAAAUUUUCUUGUCUUUCCAACUAUUUAUAGAAUUGUUGUUCUCCAAGUUAAGCAAUACUGGACUGAGUCGGCAAUAGCUUCCCAAUAUUUUAAUUUUAUUCUAAUAAAAUUAAUUAAAAGUGUAAGUUAAUUCAAUUACAGGCUAAUUAAGUCUUUAUUUGUUUGUUAAUAAUUUUAAUUCAAGUAUUUUGUUUAUUUUUUUUUUAGUACAAGAGACCUACAUUUAUUCAAUAGGAUGUUUCUAUCAUUUUUUUUUUCUCUAAACACAAAAUAGAAAUGAAAUCUCCUUUUAUUUUUUUUUUUCACAAUAAAAAUUUUUGAGAAAUUAAAUCAAUAAAAAAUUUCGAAUUCGAGUCUCGUAUGUAGAUAACUUUUAAAUCCAAGCGCUUUAUAUCUUUAAUGAACAUAUUUAGUGUGAAUUCAAAUUAGUCGAGUCAAUAAAUAUCAUAUAUCAUAUCGUUGUAUAUAUAUAUAUACUCACAAAAUGUUCAUGCACAUAAACUAGAAGAGUUAGUAUGUAGUUGUUACUAAUAUUGCAUUUGAAUAAAUAUUAUAUUUCUAUGAUUAUAUAUCUGAUGCAAUCAAUAAGAUAUAUGUAUGAUACUGAUUUGUUUUCUUCUUAAUUAAUGAAGGGAAUGAGAACUUCUUGGAUUUUAUCCUAUGUAAGAUCUCUAUCUCCGAUCAUAUAAUAUGUAAUCAUGUUUAAAUAAUUGUUACUUGUUUUACGAGCAGCAACAUUAGUAAUUAAAUUUCUCUACAUUCACUUUAUGCAGGGAUGCUCCAAUGGUCUUUGACUUUUUUUGGUAAGAACUCCUUCCAUUAAUGAAUUAGGAACAUAGUUACCUAUUUAUAUGAAGAGACAAAUUGAAAAUCUGCAACAUAUGAAACCUAGCUAACUUUAUCUUACGUUUUUGGAAGCACAUCUCUCACAUUUCUUAGGUAAAAUUUUAACAGCAAUAACUAAUUAAUGAGUUUCCCUUUGUUGAAUAUGAUCCCAUAAUUUUAUCCAGCAAUGUGUUUGGUUGCAAGAGCUUUCUGUGGGGCUCCAUGUGUGAUUGCAUUUCUUAUUUAUAAAUGGAGAAGAAGACAUCUAUCUGGAUAUGAAACAAUUGAAGAAUUCCUCCAGAGUCACAAUAACCUUUUGCCAAUAAGGUAUUCUUAUUCAGACAUUCGAAAGAUCACUAGAGGUUUCAAGGAAAAGUUGGGUGAAGGAGGCUUUGGUUUUGUAUAUAAAGGAAAACUUCGUAGUGGUAAAUUUGCAGCAAUAAAGAUGUUGGGUAAAUCUAAAGCUAAUGGACAAGAUUUUAUCAAUGAGGUUGCUACAAUUGGGAGGAUCCACCAUACCAACAUAGUAAAAUUAAUUGGUUUUUGCGUUGAGGGAUCAAAGCAUGCUCUUGUAUAUGAAUUUAUGUCUAAUGGGUCUCUUGAUAAUUAUAUUUUUUGUCAAGAAGGACCUAUUUCUUUGAGUUGGGAAAAGUUAUAUGAGAUAUCACUUGGAGUGGCACGAGGCAUUGAGUAUCUACAUCAAGGUUGCAAUAUGCAAAUCCUUCAUUUUGAUAUCAAGCCUCAUAACAUCCUUCUUGAUGAAAAUUUCACUCCAAAAAUUUCUGAUUUUGGGUUAGCUAAGCUUUAUCCAACUAAGGGAAGCAUUGCAUCUCUUACAGCUGUAAGGGGAACAAUUGGAUACAUGGCACCAGAGUUGUUCUACAAAAAUAUUGGGCGUGUUUCACAUAAAGCAGAUGUAUACAGUUUUGGAAUGUUAUUGUUGGAAAUCGCAGGAAAAAGGAAAAACCUAAAUGCAUUGGCAGAAAAUUUGAGUCAAGUUUACUAUCCAUUCUGGGUUUAUGACCAACUCUCAAGUGGAAAGUUAACAAUAGAAGACUCAUCAGAGGAGGAAAAUAUUUUAGCUAGGAAAAUGAUUAUAACGGGAUUAUGGUGUAUACAGAUGCAACCUUGUAAUCGUCCUCCAAUGAACAAAGUACUAGACAUGCUUGAAGGAGAUUUCAAAAGCCUAGAAUUGCCCCCAAGGCCUGUUCUAUAUCCUGUAGAAUCAAUGACUAUAGAUGAAGGAGAAUCAUCAUCAACGUCAAGUGAAGUAAAAUAGAUACAGAAUAUUGCUUGGUUGAAAGAGAUGGUAAAAUGUUCUGAAACUUCUUUUACCUUUAUAAAUUGCUCUAUAGAGUUAGUGAUGACUUGAUGAUAUGUUGUAAUAAUUCUAUGUGUUUAACUUGUUGAGUUUAAGCUACUCCUAGUUACAUAAUCUUUCAAUGUAUGAUAAUGCAUUUGCAUUUUGCUUCAGUAUUUGUUGAGUUUGAUUUUCCUUUGUGGAUAUUGCUCCUGUAAUCCAAGUCCUUAAUCAUGGUAGAUCCCCUAUAGGUCCUAUCACAAUUAUUGGUUAAUAUUCAAUCGUUAUACAUAUAGCGAUUAUAUUUAUGUUCUUAGAAAUUUUUGUAUAUAAUUAUUAUAUACACAAUGAUUAAUAUUUUACUAUAUAAUUAUUUAUAUUAGAGAUAUGCCGUUUAGAUUUUUGAAUAAUGCUAACAAAGAUAUAUAGCCAUUAAAAUUUCAAAGUAGAUAAAAUUUCAAAAAUCAAAGACAUACAUAUAUACACAUAUAUGAAGAACUGUUAGAAUCCUUACUUAUUGCAAAUGGUAAGAAUAUACCAUCAAUAAGAAUAUAAUCUUCUAUAUAUAUUUAUUUCAUAUGUUUUAUUUUCUCUAAUCACUUAUUUAAAUUAGAUUUUCUAAGUUAAAUUUUUUACUUUUUGCCACUGAUAAUACAUGUCCUUAGUAAAUAACAUAAUUUUCUCAUAUUAAACAAAAUAUAAUCGUUAAUUAAUAUAUUUUUAAUAAUUUUAAGAAAAAGUGCUAAAGUAAUGUAAAAUUUUACUUAUUUUUAUUUUAGUUUUUAUAAUUUAAUUUUAUCUAAGUAGUAUUUCAUUAUUUGUUUGUUUCAUCGACAUUUUCUGAUGACAUUUAAAAAUCAUUCGUUAUUUACUAAUGGUACAAGAUACUGUUUUGAUAAAAAUUAAAGUAUAAAUAUCCUAAAAUAAAAAAUCGAUGAAAUUAAAGAAAAUUUUCUUUUUAUUUUUCUCCCUAAUUUAAUAGCACUUCUCAUAAAAUUGCAUUUGAAAUUUUUAAUAUAUAUUUUUUUCUCCAUAAUAAUAUAAAUAUGUAAACUAUUUAAUAUGAAAUAAUGAAACAAAAACAAAUCAAUAAAUAAAUUAUUUACAAUUUUUAAAUUAUAUAUAUAUUUUAAAGUUUGUUAAUACGCGACAUGAUGAUCUUUAAUAAAAAAUUUUAAUUACGAAUGAUAUAAUUUUUUAAGUUGGUUAAUAUGCAAACGGCACGUGCUUUAUUUUUUAAAAGAAAUAAAAGAAAAAUUACUAUUUAAUUUUUAGUAUAAAACAAUUCAGUAGUUAGUUUUAUUUUUAAUUUUUAAAAAUAUAUUAAAAUGCACGUCUAACAUUUUAAAAAAUUUACUAGUUAGUCUUUUUAUUAUUUUUAGUUAUUAAAUAUUUAAAAAAAUCUAAAAUGCCCUUAAUACAUAGGAUUAAUAAUAAACUUUUUAUAAAAUUGAGAGACCCAAUUAAUAAAUUUUUUUUAAAUCACAUAGACUAAAAAUAGUAAAAUAGUAAAAUGCUUAGUAACUAAAACAAAUAACAUAACUAUUUAAGAAGAUAUAUUUCUUGUAAUAUAGGAUUAAAUACUAAAUUUCUUUUUUUAAAUAUUAAUUUAAUGUAUUUUGGUGAAAUAAAUAAUAAAAUUUUGAAAUAGCAGUUGUUUUUUUAUAACUAAUAUAAUUUUUUUAAUUAAAAUUAAUAUAACUUUAUAUAGAUCGCAUACAUUUUUGCACCUUUAAACUUUAUUAAAACAAAUUGUAUCAUAUUUGAACUACCUAAAAGUAGAAUUAAUCUUUUAAUCCCAUUACCAAAUAGUGUGAAUUUUCUAAAACAUUCUUAGAUCACUUUGAAUCCAGGGAAAAGUCUUUUUGAAUGUACAAAAUUUAUAGAGUAAGUUUUGUUUACAAAAUUUUCAUAUUGUGUAUAAUUUUUUUAUUAAGAUAUUGAGACUCAAAUCUAGGUCUACUAAUGCUGAACCAAUUCAGAUUAGGUUAUUAAAUGGUAGAUAAUGAAUUUAGACAAUAACUUGUAGAUCAUAAAUACAUGUUCGCAUAUAACACUUUUACAUUUUAAUGUACUAUGAAGAUUUUUUUUUUCAAAUGAAGUUUAGAAAUACAAAGAUGUAUUUAACCAUUUUGUAUAUAAUUUAAUUUUUAACAGCAGAUUAUAUAAGUUUUUUUUUUAUAGCAUUUGAUAUAAUACAAAUUUGAAUAUGAAAAUUUCAUAAUUCUAAAAUUAUGCAUAAAAAAUUAAGAUAAUGAUACGGAGCAAUUAGUCUUAAAUUUUACGACAGAUUUGAAGCAGACUUAAUUUUAGAGAAUCAAUUUUGUAUUUUAAUUAUUUUUUUGGAUAUUUUUAUAAUUUUGCAUAAUAGAGUUUUUUCUAUUAUAAAUAGCCUUUUCUUGGCUAUUUGAGAUACUUUUUAAUUUUUCAAGAAUUUCAAUAAGACUUUUUUGGAUUCUAGGCUCUCGUUUCAAUUAUUUCUUCUUAACCAAACGUUAUUGGUUAAAACUCCCUGAUGGAGUCUAAUCAGUCCUAUAUCAGAUUAGUAUCAGAGAGAAGUUCGUCCAUGGCAAACAACCAAGAGGCGCGACUUAUUGCGAUUGAGGCAUCCUUGGUAGAAUUGAGGGAGAUGAUCGGACAGUUAGCCCUGUAGCAGGGAAUCCACCAGACCGUCGCAGUCGAAUGUCCCCAGCCAGUUCUAAAUCCUAUGGUCGCCAAUCCUGUGCCUAGGGAUAAGUAAUCGGUGGGUUCGAUUCAAAAUCGAACUGAAUUGAAUAAACCAACAAUCAAAAUUUUAGUAUUUAUAAAAACUGAACCGAAUCAGUUUUAGUCAGAAACUGAAUCGAACUGAAUCGGUCUAAUUCAGUUUGAUUUCAUCGAUUUGAAUUUUUAAUAUUUUUUUUUAUUUUUUACACUUUAUUUUUAGUAUUUUAAAGUUUAAUUGGAAUAUUUUAACUUUAAUAUGAUCUAAUCUCUCUAUAUUAUUGAAAAUAAUAUACUAUUAUCACAAAUCGGUUCGAUUUUUUAAAUUUUUUCUGAUCAAAACUGAAUCGAACCAAAAUAACUGAAAUUUUAGAAAUUAAAAACUGAAUCAAAUAGAAAUAAAUAAAAAACUGAACUGAAUUUUUAAAUCAAUUCAGUUUGGUCGGUUUUUCCGGUUUGAACCGAAUACUGCUCACCUCUACCUGUGCCUGCAAAUCCCCAACAGAAUUAUCAAGAAAGUUACAAGAAAAAGAUAGACCUUCAAAAUUUUUCUGGUUCGUUGGAAGUAGAAUCUGUUCUUUAUUGGUUGGCGGAGGUUGAACAUUUCUUCAAGUUAUGAACAUGGAAGAGGAUCGAAAGGUUCCGAUUGUGGCUUAUAAAUUAAAAGGGGGUGCAGCAGCCUGGUAGAAUUCGGUUCAAAACGAACACUAUUGGAGGAGGCUAGAACCCAUAUGAAACUUGAUGUUGAUGAAGCAAAUGAUUGAACAUUAGUUCUUGCCUAGAAAAACCAAAAAAGAGAAAGAGGAGGUGAUCAAAAGAGAUAAUUUUUUACUUUUAGAACAGUCUUUAUAUAAGCUUUUUUCAAAUAAAAAGAUAAUUGUUGGACCUAAAUGUUCUAAUUCUUGUUUUGAUAACUAAUAAAUAAUUGGUGAGCUACUAAUUAUCUUUAAAAGUGUUUGUGUUGAGCUUGUAGGUCUCUUAUUAAAAUAAAUGAAAUCGCUUCAGUUUCAAGAAUGAAAAGUAUUAAAUUUGAAAGCAUACCACAAGAAAGGGAUCAGAAUGUAAUUUUUAUUUUAUGCAAUGUCAAUUUCAAUUAAUUAAUUGUGAUGGCUCAAGUUUUCUUUUAAUAUUAAAAGUUUAUAAAUAUGGCCAAGUUUUAAGUAAUUGACUUUGAGGGACCAAAAUGAAAAUUUUCAAAAUGAGUGAUUUUGAAAUUAUUUUUAUCAAAAUAAAAUAUCUCAAAAUAUAGGUUGAAAGAAUUCAAACGGAUUGAAAAAUAGAGUUUCAUAGCCUAGGUUACGAUUUUUCAAAGAUUUAAUGAAAUAUUUUUGUGCCUCCUAAAGUCAAAUGUUCGGCUUCCGAAAGUAAAGGACAUAGGCAAAAGUCCCAAAUGUUCGGUCGUCGAAUAUGGACUUUAGGCCGCCGAAAGUCUGUUUUUAAUAUGCCCCUUGAAGUGAAACUUUCGGCUUCCGAAAGAGAAGGGACAGAAGCAAAAGUCCAAAAUAUUCGACCGCCGAACAUGGACUUUAGGCCGCCGAAAGUCUGUUUUCAAUAUGCCCCCUAAAGUGAAACUUUCGGCUUUUGAAAGAGAAGGGACAGAGGCAAAAGUCAAAAAUGUUCGGCCGCCGAACAUAGACUUUAGGCCGUAGAAAGUCUAUUUUCAAGAAGUUGUUCUUCACCUUCAAAAGUUCGGCCGCCAGACUUUAACCUUAGGCCGUCGAACCUAAGUUUUUCUAAGUACGACAUAACGGUUAUUUCUAUAUACAAACGACUCUAUUUAUAUUUAAUACAUCCCCAACGGCUAUAUUUAUGUUAGAACUAUAAAUAUAAUGUGUUUUUGAUCUGGAAGUAGUUACAACAACCAUUCAAGCAUACAAUUAUUGAGAUUAAAGCCUUUUUCACUCUCUCUCUCUCAAAACUUUGAGCCAUAGCAUUAAUUUCUUGAAAGUUUGCCUUGAGUUGUAAUUGGUUUGUGUUUUAAGAUUGAGUGAAGGUUGUUGAGUGAAUUUAUUAUAGUGGGUGUGAUUUUGAGCAAAGGAUUGCUAUUGUGAGAAAAAUAGAAUUAUAAAUGGUAAGGGUUUUGCUCUAGAAUUGUAAGGAGUUUUAAUCUUCACCCAAAAAAGAUUUGAUAGUGGAGUUGAACUCUCAAGGAGGGUCUUGAGGAGAGGACGUAGGCUUGAGAUGAUUGAACCUCUAUAAAUCAUUGUGUUGAUUAUUCUCUUCCUUCCUUAUUCCUUUUUAAUUUGUGCUUUUACCUUUUAAACAUUUUUUAUAAACCCAAUUCACCCCUGUUGGGUUACUUCAAGGGACAAUAAUAAUUAUUCACAAUUUAAAAAAAAAAGUAAAAUAAAUCUACUACUCCUAUGAUGACUCUUAUCCUAAUCCUGAUCUGAUUGUGUUUGCAUCUAUCUGAAAUAGUUUUGAACUUUGUACAGCUGGCAAAACCGAAAUCCUAGAAUCUAUGCGUCGGUUUGGAUUACAGUCUUGAGUAAAAUUAUACCUUCCAGUUAGAAAAAACUCUAAAAUGGUCUCUCUCGGUUCUUUUUCUCAUUUUCAGCUCAAAGCCUAUCCCAAAAUUAAAUUCCAAGCAAAAAUCAAUUGUUUAUAUCAAAAUCAUAGCAAAAUCAUGGACUUUAAUAUGGAAAAAGUGGUAAGUUUUGCAACUCAUCAAUCAUACAUGUAACUUGCACAUCAUCAUCAAUAUAACGAAUGUACUAAAUCUUAACAACGUUACUAGCAUUCUCAUUAGGAAUACUAGGAGCUUCUUGAUCGAUAACAUACAACCUCUUUGGAGAACAAUUCUCAAAAUGCGAUAGCGGUCCAAGAAGUUCAAUUUAGUUAAUUUGUUAGCAUCAAGUAUACUACAGUGGGAUAAAUAAUUACUCAUGGUGGAAUUAGAUUUUCAUGUAGAGAUAUUCAAUUAUUAGUCUCAUGUAUUUUUCUAAUUAUUAGAUAAUGUCUUUAAUCUUUAAUUAGUCUCCCAUUAUUUUAUUCAAAUUAAUAGCCCUAUCUAUUAAUUAAGAAAAUUCAGUGGUAGAUCUCCUAGUAGGCUAGGAUCCCAUUUAAUUUAAAUAACUUUGAAUUUGCCUAACAAAUUAUUUUAAAUUAAAUUAGGUAGAUAACAUAAUUUAUCAAUCACAUCUCUAUGUGACUCCUAGAUCAGUUAGAUGACAACUCUUUGUCUUUGUCAUAUAUGUUAUGCCUAACUCUUACCCUAAACUUACAUGAUCAUGGGUUUGCUAUCCAAAUCAAGUAAUUUAGUUAAGUAGAACCAUUGUUUAGAAAUAUCAAAUAUUUCAUACCAUUAAACAUAUUCGGGUGAAAUUAACCUUGAAUUUGCCUAACAAGUUAAUAAAAACUGAACUCUAAUUUUAUGCUAUAACAAUAGGAGAUAAGUCAUCAUGUUCUUAACAUUUACUUAAAAUUUUAAUUAGGGAUUUUAAUCCUAAGAUUUCUAUUAAAGUCUCAUGCAUAGGUAUUGUUGUUGUAUAGCAUACAUAUCACAUAUAUAAACAUACACCCUGUAAUACCCGGCUAGACUCUGGUAUCGGAAUUCCUACCUUCCGGCGGAAUCUCCGUUGGAAUCUAGAAUUUCUCAGAUGUCGGAGCCUUCUAGAAGGGUAAGAUAAAGGUUUUGUAAAAUGUUUUUAUAUGUUUUUAUGGUUUUUACGAAGAAAUAAAUUGAGUUUUGAAAGAGAAGACCAAGGAGGAAAAUGCCAGGUUCGGCCGCCGAACCUCAUGUUCGGCCGUCGAACAUUGAUCUCUUGCGGAGGCACCUUUCGCCCCAGAAGGUGGUCUGGCCAGGCAUCUAUAAAAGGCCUCUUGUCUGAAAAUGGGCGAGUUUUCUCUCUCUAUUUUCAGACAUAGGUGAGAUUCCGUCCUCCCAUAGUUGAUUUUGUGUUUUCCUUCAAUUCCUUCAAGUUUUAAUGAGUUUUUACUUGGUUUUUGAAGAUUUUGAGCUAAAGAUCAAAGUUUGGAAGCUUGGAGACCCCCAGAGCUCGUUCCUCCAUAUCUCCAAGUUUGGGAUCGCACCUCCUCUCGAUCUUCAAGAGGUAAGUAUAGAUCCUCCUCUCCUUCCAUGUUUUAAGUAAGUUUUAAGAAGGGGUUAUGGGUUUUGAUGCAUGUUUAGAGUAGAUGGAUAAUGUUAGGGUUUAUGUUAGUUUUAUGCUCAAAUGUAUGCUAUGAUGAUGUUUGUUGGGGUUUAGGCUAGUUUUAAGCCCCUAAAUGCUUGAAUAUAUGUUUAUGCAUGCUUUUGUGUGAGUUGGUUGCAUGUUGGGGUGUUGUGGAUGGCCGGAAAUGCAAGGCAGAAUCGGGUUCUGCCCUUUGGGAGAGCCCAGGUUCGGCCACCGAACCUGCCUGGAGGCAGCUUUAGGCCGCCUAAACUCGCCCCCGAAAGUUUAGAGUUUCGGCUCUGGAGGGGAGUUUCGGCCGCCGAACCUGCCGCCGAAGGUUGUGACUUUCGGCUCUGGAGGGACCUUCGGCCGCCAAACCUGCCACCGAAAGUCCCCUGCCCAGCCUCCCUUUGCUUGUUUUGCAUGCAUGUUUUAUGAUGUUUUAAGGGGGUUUUUAGGGAGAUGUUUAGAGUUAUAUUAGAGUUUGUUUGGUCCCUCAUUUGAGUCCACCUGUGUAGGAUCGGACCCGAGGAACCGAGAAGGCCAGCAGGGUUAGCUGUUUCAGAGUCGGUCCAGCGUCAGCCAGAGGUGAGUAGAACACAACUCUACUUUAUUUCAAAACAACUAAAAUUUUAAGCAUAUUCAUGCAUCACGAUUGCCAUGUUUAUAGGUUGUUGCAUUAGAAUUCACGAAUAUGAUGCAUUGCAUAAUAUGAUGUUGUUGUGGAUGGUUAUUGAAUGAUCCAUUAGUCCUCGAGAUGAUAUGAUAUGAUAUGGUAUGAUACGGAAAUCCAGGUCGAGGCCCAUUCUACGCCCCUGGCACAGUUGGACAUGUUAUGUUAUGUUUAAGAGGAAGUCCUGAGGAGCUCCGUCGAGGGCCGGGCAUUCAUUGGAUAUGUAGAGGGCUAUUGGUGACAAUAUCAUCUUAAGGUGAUUUACUUGUGUUGUGAUGCAUUCCAUGAAAGCAUGUGAUUAUUAAACUGUUUUUAUUGUUCUACUCAUUGGGUUUUAGUAGCUCACCCCUUUCCCCUAAACUCCAGGUUUGCAGGUUCAGGAUAGACCGGAAAGUCGUCAAGGGUAAAGGCUUGUAUAUGUAAUAGUCUAGUAGUGGACAUGAAUGUAAAAUGAUGUAAUGUAAGGUAUUGUACAGAAAUGUAUUGAGGAUUAGUAUUGUGCUUGGCCCUAAUGUAUAGUAAUCCCUUUUUUGUACAUGAUCUAUAUGAAAUGUUUUAAUGAUGAGUUAUGUUGAACCAGGCUUGACAUAUGAUAUGUUGCCCCACUAGAGCAUUUGAUGAGGGCUCUAGUGUGGGGUUUUAUGUUUAUAAUUAUGGUGCAUGCACAUGUUAAGUUUAGUAUAUGAAAAAGUUUAAAGUUUUUACGCAAAUGUAUGAUUAUGUAUGGGAUUUAUCAUAUAUGACAGGAUGUAUAGUAGGCUUGCUACGGGUCCCGGCGACCUUAAGUCGAUUUGGAUCCUAGCGCCGGUAGCGGUCCGGUUUCCGGGUCGUUUCACACCCCUAACAUGUAAUUUUAAUUGGAUGAUUAUGAACAUUUUAAAAAUAAUUCCCUCGAAACAUAAAGGGAACUUGAUGGUUUUAAAACAUAGGUGGCAACUUCUUUGAUCUUCAAAAGUCCAAAAGGGCUCCUCCAAUGAUCCAUGUAAUUUUUAAUGUCUCCUUUACUAAUGUUGGAGGCUCUCAAAAGGGUUUCUGUGAGAGAUGCACAUGCUAUCAUAAUAUAUCCUUUUAUAUUAAAAUCUUAGAGUUUUAGUAUAAUAAUAUUUAUUUAUUUAUUUAACUAAUUAAAUAAAUAAAUUAUAACUAUAAUCCAGAUCUUUAAUAAAUGAGGUAUAUAAAUCCUAGACAAUUUUAGUUAAGGCCAUAUUUAUUUAAUUAUAUCAAAAUCAUAAUUUUUUCAAAUUACAAUUUUAUCCCAAUCUAAAUUUUAUCUCAAUCUUAAUUUAUAUGUACUUAAGUCCUACUUGAUUUAACUUCUUGUUUUAUUUUCUCAUACUAUUCUUUAUGGGUGUGACCCAUCAGAUUUCAAAUAUAUGGACAACAAAUAUAAUUAAAUAAUUAAUUAAUUUGAAGGUUAAGAAUAUUGUCUAGUAACAUAUUAAAAAUACCUAAAUAUUUGAAAUGUCAAAAAGUGGUUUGACUUAAUAAAGUGGUUUGACUUAACCUUUCAGUGCAUGAUUGGUUUGUAAGUAUAAUUAAUAUCCCUUCAUUACAAAUGUCUCGAUUUAACAUUUAAUGCAUGGAACAUACCUGCGAUGUUAAAUCAUAUUAGUUAUCAUUUAUUAGUCAUUGACCUAUUGAAUGGAAUUUCAAAUCUCAUUUGCGAAGAAUUCAUGAUUAAUGCUAAUAGAAGACAAAUGAGACAUUUCCUAAUUUAACCUUGGGUGAUGAAAUCUAUCUCAAUCACAUAAACAUCUUUAUACAGUUCCUAAUAUAUCUAAUUCAUUUCCAUUUAUUACUCAUGAACUAAGUAACUUAUAAGAUGAAUCAUAACAUAAAAGUCUCUAUAUGAGAUUAUUUAUUGAUUUCAAGUCAUACGAUCACUUAUAUGACCAUCACUUGAGUAAUCAAUAGACACAGGUUAUUUCCAUAUGGAUUUUUCAGACUAGUCUGUUCAGUGCACUUAUUUAUGAAAUAGAUACCUACAUAUUAGUUCUAAAUAUUUUAUACAUCUCAACUUAUGAUAUCAGUUAUUUCUUCUAAAAUGAAAUAAUAUAAUGUGUAUCCAUCUUAACAGCUCUAAUCAUUGUUCAAUCGUGAUAAAAACAUCGACUAGAAAUAUUUUGAGAUAUUAUAACUUAAAUGCAAUUGGAAUUUCACAAUUAUAACCACAUUAUAAUUUGUUUUGCACAGUAAUAUAGUCUCAUGGACUUUAUUUUUACUCGAGAUUCAAUUAAAUUAAUAUUAAAGAUAAAUAACAGUUUUUAUAAAAUGUAUUUAAAUACUUAAAAUACAUGAAUAAUAAUAUCAAAUUACAAUCAAUAUAUUGACUGUAGGUCAUAUUACUAAUAAGAUUUCCUUAAGUUUGAAUAAAUAUGCACCAAUUUGGAAUAAAAAAUUUAGAAAAAAUCAAAUUAGAAUAUAUCAUAUAAUUUAUUAUAAAUUUAACAAUAAAUUUAUUAAAAAUAAUAUAAUCUUAUUAAUAAUUAAUUAUUAAUUAAUUAAAUACAAAUAAUGUAAGAACCAAGGGAUAAUGGAUAGAGGACUUGAUAACUUAGAAAUAUGCUACAGCAAGUCAGAAUGAUUUUUGUUGAAAUGGAAUUAAAACUAAGUGAUUUUAUUGAAAUAAAUUAAGAUGAAGAACUCAAAAUUGAAUGACUAUGAAUGAAAAUUUUAUCUAUUGUUGAUAUGACUUUUCCCUUCGUUUCUUUUCCUAUUCUAAAUAGAUUAGUUUUCAACCGAUAACUAAUUAUAAGGAGAUGACAGACCUCUCAAAGUAUGAGUCUCUCACUAUUAGAGGUAGACUACACACAUCUUUCUUGGAAAGACACAUCUCUUUAAGAAAAACGCGUUUAUUUUUUAUAUAUAGAUUUUUUUUAUAAAGUAGUCAUUAUCAAUUAAUAUGGCUCAUAUGAGAGAUCAAUUUAAGAAGAGAGACACUAUUCAAGAUACCAAGUUCCUCUCAUUUUUAUUUACUUUGAUUUCUCAUGUAAUUGCCUAAAUAAUAACAAAUAUAUUUUUGUUACUGAAUUUUUUAUUUUCAUAAUUAAGAUGUUUUUUGACUUUUAUUUUUUAUUAGUUUUGUUUAAAAUAAUUCAUUUUGUCGAAAAAUUAUUUAAAUAUUUUUUUAAUUAUAUAUGAUUUACAUUUUCUUUUACUAUAUCUUUAAUCUAUUAGUUUGUUAGGUAAAUAUUUAAUAAAUGUUGAAAGCAACUAUGAUAAAUGAGUUUGAUGACUGAUGAAGAGCCACCCCUCCCAGCGGGAAAUUUACUUCAAUUAUUUAUUUAUUUUUAGGUUAUUAAUUCAUCAAAUUCAUUUACUUUGUGGCUCUCAGUGAGCCCCAAUUAUAGAAUGCCCAGAAGAAAUGUCAAUGAAAAAUAAAUGCAUACACAAUGUGGAUGUAACAUCCAUUUUUUUUAAUAAUAAUAAUUAAAAAUAAGACUAUAAUUUAUAAAAAUUUUGAAAAUAAAAUUUAAAUUUAAGUGGUCCUACUUUGAUCACAAUUAAUGAAUUGAUUUACUUAGUGGACUCUAAUGAAUUUUAGGCCGAUCUCUUUCUCCGAGACUCGAUUAGUGGACUCCAAUAGAUUUUAAAUCAUUCUCAUUUUUGGACUCAACUUUUGCUGAGUGGCAGCGAUCAUCAUUUACAAAAUUUAUUUAAUAAAAAUUUCGUGGGCUCUUGAAAAUUGGUUCACUUCCUUACUUUUCUCUCGAUCAGUUUAAUUGAUUUUUUUAAGUUUUAUAUUUAUAGUGAAAAUUUUAAUUCUUUUAAUUUAUAAAAAUUUUCAUGUAAAAAUAAAAAUUUAUAUAUAGUUUAUAAGAAUUUAAUUUUUUUUUUCUCAAAAUUUUUUUCCAAUUAAAGAGAGAAUGUUAAUUGAAUUUUAAGUUAAAAAUAAUAGUUAACAUUUUGUUAUGUGAUGUAUAAUCAUUAUAUGUAGUUUUUGAAAAUAUAUUUUAAUAGAAUAUUUUCUCAGUUUUAAAUUAAAAAUUUUACAAAAAUUUAAUUUAAUUUAAUUAAUUUUUUAUUUAAAAUAAUUUUCAUAAUUUUAUAAAAAUUUAUUAAUUUUUUAUAUAAAAUUAUUUAUACUAAACGGUCGGAUUAAAAAUAUAUUUAAAAUGAAAUGACAAAAAAUUAUAAAAAUAUUAUAGUUUGUUGUAUGACCUUUUGUCAUCCUCAGGGACAGCAUUGUCGGUGCUUGAUAGUGACUUCAUAAGAGAGAGUGGUGUUCGAAAAGUCAAAGUGGGCCAAUUUUCAAUUGAUGACUAAUGACUCAAGUUGAGCUAUCCUUUCGAAUCGACACUUAGACUAAAAAGAAAAGAAGACGAUAAAAACAUAUAAUAAAAUUUAGGAUUAAUGAUAAUUUUUUUUUUUAUUAUUUGUAACUGAAUUCUAUUUUUUUUUAUAUUUUAUUAAUUAAAUUUUAUAUUUUUUUAAUUACAUUUAAAUUUCAAAAUUUUAUUAAAAAUUAAUUAAAUUAUCACAUUUGAUAUAUUAUUAUUAUAUCAGUAAAAUUCAUAAUACAAUUAGUUAAAAUUUUAUAAAUUAAAAAUUUAUAGUUUAAUUAAAUUUUUAAAGUUUAAAACGUAAUUAUAAAUUUUUUAAAUAUGAUGAGUUCUUUAUUGUUUUUUAAAUUUAAAAUUUUAUAAUAUUAAAAAAAGAAUAAUAUAAACGAUUUUUAGUAUUAUAAAUUUUAAUUUUAGGAGAAAUGAUUAAAAAAAUUUAUUAUUGCACUUUAAAUUUUAAAAAUUUACUAACUAAACUUUGAAGUUUUAUCCUAAAUUUUUUUAAUGUGACAAUUUUGUUAGUCUCUAAUGGAAAAUUUUAUGUUGAGUAGCAAUUAAAAUAAGUAUAAAAAUAUGAAAUUUAAUUGGUGAAAGUAUGAAGUUUAAUUAGAUAUAUAUCUUUUUUUUUCAUUUAAAGGGAAUAAAAAUUUGAGUAAAAUUAUUAUUUAUUGAAAAAAAAAAUUUUUAGUUAUUCUUUCAAUUUUGAAAAUACAUUAAGUUUUUGAUGGUUUAAGAACUUUAAUAAUUAAUCUUUUUAUUAAUUUUAAUUAUUAAUAUUAUUAAAAAAAUAUAAAUUCAAUACUGAGAGAUUAAUAAAUUAGCAGUUUUCUUAUAAAUUUAAUAGAUUAAUUAAUAAUUUUUUUUAAAUUAUAGAAAUUAAAUAGUAAAAUAUUUAGCAGAUAAAACUAACAUAUAUAGUAAAUUUUUAAAAAAUUAGAAAUAUUUUAAUAUAUUUUUUAAAAUCCAGAGAUGAGUUUUUUCGUAAUUUAAAGAUUAAAUAGUAAAUUUUUUUAAAAUAAUUAUUCAUAAUGAACUUUUCAUUUAAAUGCAAAAUAUUUUUAAUUUAAAUGCAAAAUAUUUCAAAAUUUUUUAUAAUAUUUAAUUAGUAAAAUUUAAUGGAAUCAAUUAAUAAUUUUUUUAAAAUUUUAAGAAUGAUUUAAUAUAUUUUUUAAAAUUAAAAUUUUUUUAUAUUAUAAAAUUAAAUAGUAAUUUUUCUAAUUAAAAAUUAUUUAGUAAACAUAGAAAGAAGUGAAUGAGACUGGCUAACAUGUAGACAACAGUGGUGAUGAUAAGCUUAUUGAUAACUUCUUACAAGUGAUGAAGGAGACUGCACGUUUGAAAUGUCAAAAGUGAAUGAGUAAUUAGAGAAAAUUUAUAUAGAUAAAAUUUUGUAGGUUAAAUGAAUAUUUUUAUUUAAUUUAUUAUUUAUAUAAAUAUUAUUUAAUUUUAUUUAUAUUUAUGAUUUAUUUUUUUAAAAAAAUUAAUUUAAUUAUAUUUAAAUAAUUUAUGAAAAUAUUAAAUAAUCUAAUUAUUACUUAUAGUAUUCUCUUUUUUUUAUUUUUUUUAUAAAUUUAAACAAUCUAAUAUAUAAUUUCGAUCAAUCGUAUAAAUAAAAAAAUAAAUAAAAAUAAUUAUUAUUAAUUAUCAUUAAAAAGUGAUUGUAAAAAAUAAAUAUAAAUAACUUAGCUUUAAGGAUUUAAGGAUUUAAUAAUAAUAAUUUUUUCCUUAUUUUUUUAGAAUUGAAAAAAAAUUACAUAAACACACCUAUAUAAUUUAAAAAAUUUGAGUGUGCCAACAAUAGAUUAAUGGCUAGAGCCGCCUGAAGAGGUUUUCAUGUAAAAUGAACACAGAAACAAUGUCAAUCUCCGUCUACCUUAAUUCCACGAUUGGAGAAAUUGUAAUCUUCGUUUUCCUGCUCAUCUCCCAAACUUGCAAGGGUGGGGAUUCAAAUCAGUGUCCACCUUCUUCAUGUGGGAAGAAUCACAACAUCAGUUACCCUUUUCGAUUACAAACUGAUCCUAAGAAUUGCGGAAACCAUAGCUAUGAGGUUUCUUGCGAAAAUAAUUUGACGGUGUUAAAUCUUAACGGUGGAAGAUACUUUGUUCAAUCCAUCAACUACGAUAACUUCACUAUCCGACUGGUGGAUGCCGGCGUCCAUCCAGACAAUUGCUCCUCCAUUCCUCGUUUUCCAUUUAUAUACGAUCUGUCGGAAAGAUAUUCCACUUAUAGAUACCAAUGGUCAGAAACAGAAGAACGCAAAUGGAAGAAGUUAAGACAGCUUCCAGAGUUGUCGCAGAUGAUUAUGUUCAUAAAGUGUCAAAAUCCAGUGAAGUCUCCUCUUUACGUGGAAACAGCUCCUUGUCUUAACUCAUCUUAUGUAAAUAUAGGAGACAUGAAGGCAAACGAUUUGAUGGAGUUGUGCAGCGUGGAGAUGAUUAGUUUGUUUCCAUUAUUUCCGGCAAAGAAGAACAUGUCGUUUCUUGAAAUUCACAGGCAACUUGCUUUUGGGUUUCAGCUUUCCUGGCACAGCAUCUACUGUGGUAAAUGUCAUCCUUAUGCUUGCUAUCUGGACAGCAGAAAAGGCAUUCGAUGCCUUAUCUGGUGUAAGUAAUGCUUUCAUCCAUUUCAUCAUAAAUAAUUGUUUACUUUCACACACAAAUUUAUUUGAUUAAUAAAUCACUCUGAUAGUCUUUUUCCUUUUCUUAAUAAUAUAUUCUUUCUCCACCAUUCUAAUUAUAUCUAUAAUACAAAAAUAUAAAAUAUAAAAUAUCUUUUCUGACAAAGAUGACCUUAAAAUUUUGAAAAUCUUAUUAAUACUGAAAAUUUAAAUGCAUAGUGUGGAAUUUAGGUGCUGCAAAUAUUACUAUUUUGUUACAGGAUGAUGACAAAAUUUUCUUGUCUUUCCAACUAUUUAUAGAAUUGUUGUCCUCCAAGUUAAGCAAUACUGGACUGAUUCGGCAAUAGCUUCUCAAUAUUUUAACUUUAUUCUAAUAAAAUUAAUUAAAAGUGUAAGUUAAUUUAAUUACAGGGUAAUUAAGUCUUUAUUUGUUUGUUAAUAAUUUUAAUUCAAGUAUUUUGUUAAUUUUUUUAGUACAAGAGACCUAUAUUUAUUUGAUAGGAUGUUUCUAUAUUUUUUUUCAUCUAAACACAAAAUAUAAAUGAAAUCUCAUUUUAUUUUUUUUUCUCAAUAAAAAAUUUCAAAAAAUGAAAUCAAUAAAAAAUUUCGAGUUCAAGUCUCGCAUAUAGACAACUUUUAAAUCCAAGUGCUUUAUCUCUUUAAUGAACAUAUUCAGCGUGACUUCACAUUAUUUGAGUCAAUAAAUUUCAGAUAUCAUAUCGUUUUAUAUAUAUUUACAUUUACAAAAUAUUCAUACAUAGAAACUAGAGUUAGUAUAUAGUUAUUACUCAAUAUUGCAUUUGCAUAAAUAUUAUAUUUCUAUGAUUAUAUAUCUGAUGCAAUCAAUAAGAUAUAUAUAUGAUACUGAUUUGUUUUCUUCUUAAUUAAUGAAGGGAAAGAGAACUUCUUGGAUAUAAUCGUAUGUAAGAUCUCUAUCUCCGAUCAUAUAAUAUGUAAUCAUGUUCAAAUAAUUGUUACUUGUUUUAAGAGCAGCAACAUUAGUAAUUAAAUUUCUCUACAUUCACUUCAUGCAGGGAUGCUCUCAUCGUCUUUGAUUUGUCUUGGUAAGAACUCCUUCCAUUAAUGAAUUAGAAACAUAGUUACCUAUUUAUAUGAAGAGACAACAUGAAAAUCUGCAACAUAUGAAACCUAGCUAACUUUAUCUUACGUUUUUGGAAGCACAUCUCUCACAUUUCUUAGGUAAAAUUUUAAGAGCAAUAACUAAUUAAUGAGUUUCUCUUUGUUGAAUAUGAUCCCACAAUUUUAUCCAGCAA
rnacentral:lncRNA from 1 species